rnacentral:rRNA from 1 species
AGUUCGGAUUGUAGGCUGCAACUCGCCUACAUGAAGCUGGAAUUGCUAGUAAUCACAGGUCAGCAUACUGUGGUGAAUACGUUCCCGGGCCUUGUACACACCGCCCGUCACACCAUGAGAGUUGAGAAUACCCGAAGUCCAUGUCAAAGUGGCCGAAGGUAGGCUUGAUGAUUGGGGUGAAGUCGUAACAAGGUAUC